GUGCCUAACACAUGCAAGUCGAACGAGAAAGGGGAGCAAUCCCUGAGUAAAGUGGCGCACGGGUGAGUAACACGUGACUAACCUACCCUGGAGUGGGGGAUAACUGAGGGAAACCUUAGCUAAUACCGCAUAAUACCCACGGGUCAAAGGAGCAAUUCGCUUCAGGAGGGGGUCGCGGCCGAUUAGUUAGUUGGCGGGGUAAUGGCCCACCAAGACGAUGAUCGGUAUCCGGCCUGAGAGGGCGCACGGACACACUGGAACUGAAACACGGUCCAG
rnacentral:rRNA from 1 species